UCUGGCCUCGGCCCGAGUUGUAAUUUGCAGAGGAUGCUUCUGGCGCGGUGCCUUCCGAGUUCCCUGGAACGGGACGCCACAGAGGGUGAGAGCCCCGUAUGGUCGGACACCAAGCCUGUGUGAAGCUCCUUCGACGAGUCGAGUAGUUUGGGAAUGCUGCUCUAAAUGGGAGGUAAAUCUCUUCUAAAGCUAAAUACCGGCCAGAGACCGAUAGCGCACAAGUAGAGUGAUCGAAAGAUGAAAAGCACCUUGAAAAGGGGGUUAAAUAGUACGUGAAAUUGUUGAAAGGGAAGCACUUGUGACCAGACUUGGGCCGGGCGGCUCAUCAGGGGUUCUCCCCUGUGCACUCCGCCCGGCACAGGCCAGCAUCGGUUCUCGUGGGGGGAUAAGACCGUCAGGAACGUAGCACCCUCCGGGGUGUGUUAUAGCCUGGCGGACGAUACCCCCGUGGGGACCGAGGUUCGCGCUCCGCAAGGAUGCUGGCGUAAUGGUCACCAGUGACCCGUCUUGAAACACGGACCAAGGAGUCGUCCAUUAGAGCGAGCGUUUGGGUGUAAAACCCGCACGCGUAAUGAAAGUGAACGCAGGUGAGAGCUUCGGCGCAUCAUCGACCGAUCCUGAUGUUCUCGGAAGGAUUUGAGUAAGAGUUUUAACGGACGGACCCGAAAGACAGUGAACUAUGCUUGUAUAGGGUGAAGCCAGAGGAAACUCUGGUGGAGGCUCGCAGCGGUUCUGACGUGCAAAUCGAUCGUCAAAUAUGAGCAUGGGGGCGAAAGACUAAUCGAACUGUCUAGUAGCUGGUUACCGCCGAAGUUUCCCUCAGGAUAGCAGUGUUGAUCUUCAGUUUUAUGAGGUAAAGCGAAUGAUUAGGGACUCGGGGGCGCUAUAUAGCCUUCAUCCAUUCUCAAACUUUAAAUAUGUAAGAAGCCCUUGUUACUUAGUUGAACGUGGGCAUUCGAAUGUACCAACACUAGUGGGCCAUUUUUGGUAAGCAGAACUGGCGAUGCGGGAUGAACCGAACGCGGGGUUAAGGCGCCAGAGUGUACGCUCAUCAGACACCACAAAAGGCGUUAGUACAUCUUGACAGCAGGACGGUGGCCAUGGAAGUCGGAAUCCGCUAAGGACUGUGUAACAACUCACCUGCCGAAUGUA
rnacentral:rRNA from 1 species